GACAGAAGCUUAUGCCGUCAGUUUCGUCAGGUCUUCAUAAAACAGUCAUAACUUCCUCGUUUCUCACCGGAAUUGGACAUAUGACCUAUUGUUGGAAAGCUCUCGGAACAAGCUAUCACCUCCACUUUGAAUCACCUCAAAAUCAUUUAUAGAUUGAAAGAUAUGUCCAUUAAAAGUUUGCGUCAUGCCCAAUAUGACGUUUUCCCUUUACGCAACCUCAUCUCCACACCCAUACACCUUCACGAGCUCCAUAUACUACCAUAUACCCAACAGUCCAAGCAAUGAGUGCUUAUUCCCUCCCAUCUCUAUCAAAACCUAAUUCUUGUCAGGUACAGUCUACAGGACCGUUGCUCAGGAUUAUUAGUGGAUUGGCAUAAUGUAGAAUAUUUUUUGCUAGUUCCUGAGGAAUCCGGUUUUGUGUUCUUGGCUUACAAUAUUUUUUAUUCGAUUCUAAUCUUUUGCAUCCUAUGUUUUGGAAGAAAAGGUAGCUCUUAGUUGGCCUUGAGAGAAAUUUACAUUCUUAACUGUGCUAGUGUUUUCUAAUAUCUGAUCGCAUAUUAUAGUUUUCCUUAUCAUACAGAAAUGCACUUAUGCUUUUAGCUUCGGGAAACUCCAUUCAUCUAGUAAUUCUGAACAUGGGUUCCUAGUUAUUUCGCUGACCAUAGUAUACUGACUUAGUCAUAUUGAGUAAUCAUCUCUCUCUUGUGUUAAGUUUUUGAGUGAAAUAAAUUUUUGAGGCCUUCAUAUGAGCUUAUAACAUGUGUGCUCUUUUGCAGGCUAUGCAAACACCCUUCAGGAGCUACAUUCAAGAGAUGCUGGCUCUUGUGAAGCGCGAGAGAGAAGAGCGAGAAGCUUUGGGAGCCUUGCCUCUGUACCAGCGAUCGAUUCCUUAAGCAUGUCGGUGCAUGUUGCAGCUGUGGCCGACUUAUGAACUGAACAUCAUAUGAAUUUUUUGAGGUUAAUUUGUUACUUGAGAAGGGCAGUUAAUAUAUUAGUGGGAGAUUUUUCCUUGUCUCUCGCCUUGUGCACAUUUUGUCUUUUGCCGUAGUCAAAAGUUGUUCAUUCAUAAUAGCAUUGUUUUGGAUGAAGUGAUGCUGAAUAAUAUUUAUAUUAUGUUUCAAAACUUAUCAA